AGAUCCCAAGGACGAUACUAGCCAACCAGGAACCAGCUCUGGGAAGCAGUGCGGCGUCUCCAAGCAAGCAGCUCCCAAGGACGAUGCUAGCAAGCCAGGACCCAGCCAUCGGCGGCAGAGCAGCAUCAUCGCCUGGCAACCAGGUCCCAGAGGCGAUGCGAUUCAAGCUGGACCCAGCCAUGGGCAAAGCGGC